UACGGAGGAUGGAAGCGUUAUCCGGAAUGAUUGGGCGUAAAGCGUCCGCAGGUGGCUGUGUAAGUCUGCUGUCAAAGAGCGAAGCUCAACUUCGUAAAGGCAGUGGAAACUACACGGCUAGAGUGCGUUCGGGGCUGAGGGAAUUCCUGGUGUAGCGGUGAAAUGCGUAGAGAUCAGGAAGAACACCGGUGGCGAAGGCGCUCUGCUAGGCCGCAACUGACACUGAGGGACGAAAGCUAGGGGAGCGAAUGGG
rnacentral:rRNA from 1 species